CCCAAGAAGGCGGCCGCCGGCACGUGCACGCUGAUAAAGGCGUCGUCUUCCUCCAACUCGUCCUGCCCGGCGCCCCCGGGCCCGUCGGGCAGCUGCGGCUGAACGCAGGCGACUGAGGAUGCAGCCCCUGAUUUAAAUGCACACCCGAGAGUGCGUCAGAACCCAGGCUCGAACAUCAAACGUGUGGCCAGACUAAUUGACACAUCUCCAUUUGAUGGUGCUGUCACUUUUCAUCUCUUUCUUAGCAAAGGCCAACAUCAAUUUUUACUUCGGCCCAGAAACGUGCUCCGUUUUCCAUGAAGACCAAGGAAGAAGAGAAUGAUGUCUCCUUCAUCUCAACCUAUAAGGCUCGCUUCAAAUGAUACUUUCUCCACAGACCCUCCCUGACUUCCACUGUGUGAACACUGAGUUUUUCCCCAUCUCACAAGACGCUGCCCCCGUUCCUCCUUUUCCUGGAUUGGAGUCAGGACACCUGGGUCUCAUCCAUGUUCUGCAGUGAAUUUCCCUGUUUAAAGGUAGCAGCCCCGUGCUCGUGGCUCAUCUGACUGCAGGGUGAUGGCUGGUGAAUACAGACAAGAUGCAAGGACCUGGAUUCGCUAUCAAAUAAUUGGGUGUUAUCUGGUCAGAUUCCUGAAUGCAGAAGUUCUAAAGAACCACGAGUAAAAUCUGCUCCUGACUUAGAAAAUCAGAUCUGAUUCUGGGCUUAAUAACCAAAACAAUUCAGGGGAACUGCUGGUAAUUUCAAAUUAGUUAAAAGGAGUCUCAGGGGCUUCCCUGGUGGCGCAGUGGUUGAGAAUCUGCCUGCUAAUGCAGGGGACACGGGUUCGAGCCCUGGUCUGGGAAGAUCCCACAUGCCACGGAGCAGCUGGGCCCAUGAGCCACAAUUGCUGAGCCUGCGCGUCUGGAGCCUGUGCCCCGUGACGGGAGGGGCCGCGAUAGAGAAAGGCCCGCGCACCGCGAUGAAGAGCGGUCCCCGCACCGCGAUGAAGAGUGGCCCCCGCUUGCCGCAACUGGAGAAAGCCCUCGCACGAACCGAAGACCCAACACAGCCAAAAAUAAACAAAUAAAUAAAUAAAUAAAUAAGAAAAUCCUUUAAAAAAAAAAAAAAAAGGAGUCUCAGAAUAUCCAUUUAGUUCCCAUUUCUUAUAUGAGUUAGAAAUCCCAGACUUAUCCUGCUCCCCAUCUUGUAGCAUCUUAAAUUCCAGGUAUUAAUCAUAGUUGAGAAAAAAAUGCCACUAACAGAUCAAAAUGAUUUAUAGAUCAGUUUCCAUCUUAAUAAAUAUUUUAAGGAAAAAGAUUAUACACAUAUGAAAAUUAUGUUAAAAUAUAAAUAUAUGCAAAUAUUAACUAAGGCUAUACUCAAAAUUAUUCUUUUUCCUUUAGAAUUUUGAAUAACUCGCUGUCAACUACACAAGGUCCACACUAAAUAAAGCUAACUUCCUUAUAAAUAAAACAUUGAAUUCAAAUAGGACAUCAAUAUCAAUUACUUUAUAAAUAAGACAUCAG